rnacentral:sRNA from 1 species
UUUUUUUUAAAAAAAAGCAUCCAAGAACUGUGGGAAAAUAUCAAAUGAUAUAAUAUGCAUGUAAUAGGACUCCCAGAAGAAGAAGAAAGAACAAAUCAUAAAAAAUGUUUGAAGAGAAAAUUACCAAUAAUUUUCCCAAAAUAAUGAAAGACAACAAAAUGCAGACCUGAGCUCAGAGCACACACAAAACUUGAUAAAUAUGAGCCCCUGCCUCACACAUGCACUGUAUUCAAACUGUGGAAAUCAGAAAGAAAACCAUGAAGAUGGCCGGAGAAAAAAGAUACGUUAAAUACAGUAACAAAGAAUCGCAGCGUGAGUGUCUCUCUUCACCAUACCGCACGGGUCCUGCUCACUGACCCAGCCCGCCUGCUGUCCAGGGCUUCCUCUGUCUCCGCUCUGGGACCUCCCCAUGGCCACGCAUUCCGCCGCCUGGUCUGGAUCCCUCGCGGUGUCUGGGUUCAGCCAUGCUCAGCCUCCGUGUCGGUCACCAGCCUAGAAACCCUGGAGCACCCCGGGCCGGAACCCUUCCCUCAGAUCUGUCCUGAGUUCCCUUUCAGAGAUCAAGCCCAGCCUGGCUCAAUCUUGCACCCCUUGGGAUCCACG